rnacentral:lncRNA from 1 species
CUUGAUGCUCUGGCAGCCAUGAGCACAACCAUCUCCUUGUCAACACCCUUGGCGAAAACCUGCGAUUGCAAAGGCCAUCAAUCACUUUCCAUCUGCAGUUUUUUUACAGAGAAAAAUCUUUUCACUUUCCAUCUGCAGUUUUUUUACAGAGAAAAAUCUUUGUCAGGUACUAAAAGGAUCAUCAGUAUGUACCUCAAUCAUGGUUUUGUCAACAGUAAGUUUGUUGAGUGUCAAUGUUCCUGUUUUGUCACUGCAAAGAACAUCCAUUCCUGCCAUUUCUUCGAUGGCUGUCAUUCUUUUCGUUAUGGCUCCCUGCAAAGUGUAUUUCAAGUCCCUUGUCAUGUCUCACGUUUUAAUAGAUCUUGCGAUCUUCCCCUCUGAUGGUCUGGCAGGAAAAUUACCUGCUGAGACAAGCGAUGUGAUCCAAUGGCCAUCGUGACUGACAGAACUGUUGGCAUAGCAAUUGGGAUCCCGCCGAUUAGUAGAACCAGUAGAUUAUCAAUCCCGACUCGGUAUGCUCUCUUUUGCAGGCCAUAAAUCACCACAAUUUCUAUAACCAUACCAACAGCAAUGGAACAAAUGCAGAAGUUUCCAAUUGCUGUCAAAACCUGAUAAAAAACACCCUCGAUCAGUGAUCCUGGUACUGCAAAAUGGGUUCUCUAGUUUGAACAAAGGGCAAACUGACGAACCUGCUGGAAAUGGCCAACAUUGUUUGUACUGUCAACAAGAUGAGCUGCUUUUCCAAAGAAUGUAUGGACUCCUGUUGCAAUAACCACUGCAUCUAUUUCCCCUUGCUUGCAGGUUGAACCAGAGUAAACUCCACUUCCUGGAUUUUUGGUCACUGGAAGCGAUUCUCCAGUAAGAGCAGCCUGCAAACGUUGUCAAGAUAAGUUUCUGAAAAUGUACUUAGAACACAAACAUAGACCCUCUUGAAAUUCAAAUAUAAAAAGGGUCUCUAACCUGAUCAAUCUUUAAAGGAUCUCCUUCAAGAAGGCGAGCAUCAGCUGGAACGAUAUCACCGAGCUUGAUGCUGAUAAUGUCUCCAGGUACUAAAAUCGCAGCAUCUUCCUCGCUCCAUCUGCCAUUGC